UAUAAGAGAGAUUUUUUUUAUAAAAUUAAAUUUCCCACAACUUUUGUUUGAAAACUUUUAUGAUAAGACCAAUAUUUUCGCCGUAAUAUCAAACAUUAGAACCAUUCAUUUCAAAAUUAAGGCAAAAAUCUUGUCCCUACUGAUUAUUAAUUAUUUUAUUAAAAAUAUAAUCACUCAUUUAUUAAUUAAUUAGAUUAUUUUAAAAGUAUGGGUUAUUUAUGAUUGACUUUUAAAAAUUAUCGGACCUCAGCCGGGCUAUUAAUCCGGUUCCACUGGGCACUUAAAAAUAAUCGAGGAUUAAAAUAAAUUUCCGGUUGAUGUAUCUAUGAUGUCGGUGACCACCCCUGACCCACUUGUGAAACUUGGAGCAGAACCCAAACUCUGAUAAUUUCAUUGGUACAAAAAAGGGGAAAUUUGAAAUUCGGUCUAAAAUUACAAGAUUAGUAAAUAAAAUUUCAUAAAAAUAUUUUUUGAAAUUUAUCACACGAGUUUUAAAUUUUGUAUAGACUACA